GCCUUAUCAAGAGUGAUGGAGGGGAAGGGCCCGAUGAAAUCCGGCAACCAUAGAGUGUAUGGUGCUAAGUCCCUCAGAAUUUUGGUUCUGAAAGAUGAGGA
rnacentral:ncRNA from 2 species